rnacentral:rRNA from 1 species
GAUGAACGCUAGCGGCAGGCUUAACACAUGCAAGUCGAGGGGUAUAGGUUUUCGGACCUAGAGACCGGCGCACGGGUGCGUAACGCGUAUGCAAUCCACCUUUCACAGAGGGAUAGCCCAGAGAAAUUUGGAUUAAUACCUCAUAGUAUUAUGAAGUGGCAUCAUUUUAUAAUUAAAGUUCCAACGGUGAAAGAUGAGCAUGCGUCCCAUUAGCUAGAUGGUAAGGUAACGGCUUACCAUGGCGACGAUGGGUAGGGGUCCUGAGAGGGAGAUCCCCCACACUGGUACUGAGACACGGACCAGACUCCUACGGGAGGCAGCAGUGAGGAAUAUUGGUCAAUGGACGCAAGUCUGAACCAGCCAUGCCGCGUGCAGGAUGACGGUCCUAUGGAUUGUAACUGCUUUUGUACGAGAAGAAACACCCCUUCGUGAAGGAGCUUGACGGUAUCGUAAGAAUAAGGAUCGGCUAACUCCGUGCCAGCAGCCGCGGUAAAAC